rnacentral:rRNA from 1 species
GUGAGGAAUAUUGGACAAUGGGCGCAAGCCUGAUCCAGCCAUGCCGCGUGCAGGAAGACGCAUCUAUGGUGUGUAAACUGCUUUUGUACGGGAAGAAACACUCCCUCGUGAGGGAGCUUGACGGUACCGUAAGAAUAAGGAUCGGCUAACUCCGUGCCAGCAGCCGCGGUAAUACGGAGGAUCCAAGCGUUAUCCGGAAUCAUUGGGUUUAAAGGGUCCGUAGGCGGUUUAAUAAGUCAGUGGUGAAAGCCCAUCGCUCAACGAUGGAACGGCCAUUGAUACUGUUAGACUUGAAUUACAAGGAAGUAACUAGAAUAUGUAGUGUAGCGGUGAAAUGCUUAGAGAUGACACAGAACACCGACGGCGAAGGCAGGUUACCAACCCAUUACUGACGCUGAGGCACGAAAGCGUGGGGAUCAAACAGGAUUAGAAACCCCGGUAGUCC